AGGACUAACGCUGGCGGCGUGCCUAACACAUGCAAGUCGAACGAGGUAGCAAUACCUAGUGGCAGACGGGUGAGUAGCGCGUGGUCAACCUACCGUUGAGUGGGGGAUAACUAGCCGAAAGGUUAGCUAAUACCGCAUACGUCUCCGAGGGGCAUCCCUUGGCGAUAAAAGGAGCAAUCCGCUCGAUGACGGGACCGCGUCCCAUUAGCUAGUUGGUGGGGUAACGGCCUACCAAGGCGUCGAUGGGUAGCUGGUUUGAGAGAGCGACCAGCCACACUGGGACUGAGAUACGGCCCAGACUCCUACGGGAGGCAGCAGUGAGGAAUUUUCCGCAAUGGGCGAAAGCCUGACGGAGCGACGCCGCGUGUGGGAAGAAGGCCUUCGGGUCGUAAACCACUGUCGAAGGGGAAGAUAAUGACGGUACCCUUGGAGGAAGCCCCGGCUAACUACGUGCCAGCAGCCGC
rnacentral:rRNA from 1 species